UUAACUAUUAUAUAAUACUCAGACGACACUAAUAUUCAGGGUUUUGGGUUCUCUGGCGGGCGCACACCAGCCAGAGCCGGUGGAGAGGCGCGAACCUCAAACGUCCCGCCAAAGCAACAUAGUAAUAACAACAUAGGGUGGGAGAUCUACCCGUGAGGGCACGAACUCUGUAAUGAUCCCUCCGCAGGUUCACCUACGGAGA
rnacentral:misc_RNA from 1 species